rnacentral:misc_RNA from 1 species
GAUGAAGAACGCAGCGAAAUGCGAUACGUAAUGUGAAUUGCAGAAUUCAGUGAAUCAUCGAAUCUUUGAACGCAUAUUGCGCUCUUUGGUAUUCCGAAGAGCAUGCUUGUUUGAGUAUCAGUAAACACCUCAACCUCUUCUUGAUUUUUCAAAAGGAGGGUGGACUUAAGCUAUCCCAACAACCUUUACCGGUCGGCGGGCGGCUUGAAAUGCAGGUGCAGCUGGACUUUUAUCUGAGCUAAAAGCAUAUCUAUUUAGUCCUCGUCAAACAGGAUUAUUACUUUUGCUGCAGCUAACAUAAAGGAUAAUUGUCCUCUUUGCUGACUGAUGCAGGAUUUUACGACACUUUAUGUGUUGUUCAACUCGAUCUCAAAUCAAGUAAGACUACCCGCUGAACUUAAGCAUAUCAAUAAGCGGAGGA